GUUGAACGCUGGCGGCGGGCCUAAUACAUGCAAGUCGAGCGGACAGACGAGGAUCUUGCUCGUCUGACGUUAGCGGCGGGUGGGUGAGUCACACGUGUAUAACUGGCCUUUAGGACUGGGAUAACGUCGGGAGACCGGAGCUAAUAUCGGAUAAGAUGUUGAACCGCAGGGUUCUAUAGUGAAAGACGUUUUUGCUGUCACUUAUAGAUGUAUCCGGGUCGCAUUAGCUAGUUGGUACGGUAACGGCCUACCAAGGCUACGAUGCGUAGCCGACCUGAGAGGGUGAUCAGUCACACUGGAACUGAGACACGGUCCAGACUCCUACGGGAGGCAGCAGUAGGGAAUAUUCGGCAAUGGGCGAAAGCCUGACGGAGCCAUGCCGCGUGUGUGAAGAAGGUCUUCGGAUUGUAAAACACUGUUAUUAGGGAGGAAGGACAGUGAAUGUAAACCUUGAUGUCUUGACGGUACCUACUCAGUAAGCACCGGCUAACUUCGUG
rnacentral:rRNA from 1 species